UACGUAGGGUGCGAGCGUUGUCCGGAAUUACUGGGCGUAAAGAGCUCGUAGGUGGUUUGUCGCGUUGUCCGUGAAAACUCACAACUCAAUUGUGGGCGUGCGGGCGAUACGGGCAGACUGGAGUACUGCAGGGGAGACUGGAAUUCCUGGUGUAGCGGUGGAAUGCGCAGAUAUCAGGAGGAACACCGGUGGCGAAGGCGGGUCUCUGGGCAGUAACUGACGCUGAGGAGCGAAAGCGUGGGGUGCGAACAGG
rnacentral:rRNA from 1 species